rnacentral:rRNA from 1 species
UACGGAGGGUGCAAGCGUUGUUCGGAAUCAUUGGGCGUAAAGCGCGCGCAGGCGGUCUGAGAAGUCUAUGGGUGAAAUGCCGGGGCUCAACUCCGUGCAUGCCCAGGAUACUCUCAGGCUAGAGACAUGUAGAGGCUGGCGGAAUUCCGGGUGUAGCGGUGGAAUGCGUAGAUAUCUGGAGGAAUACCGGUGGCGAGGGCGGCAUCCUGGACCAUUUACUGACGCUGAGGCGCGAAAGCUAGGGGAGCAAACGGG